GGGGCCGUAGCUCAAUUGGUAGAGCGCUACAAUGGCAUUGUAGAGGUCAGGGGUUCGAUUCCCCUCGGCUCCA
rnacentral:tRNA from 1 species